GUUGUAGAAUAGUAUCAGAUGCAUGGAAAAAAUGAGACUAGAGUGCAGAGAAUUCCCACAUACGCUGCAUCUAGUUUCCCGUAUUAUUAUCUUACAUUAGAAUGAAUGGUGUGUUCAUUACAAUUAAUGAGCCAAUACGGAUACCUUGUAAUUAGCUAAAGUCUGUGCUUUGUUCACCUUUCCUCAGUUGAUACUUCAUGUUCUUUUUCAGUCCCAGGAUCCCAUCCAGGAUGCCUUGUCACCUUUAGUUGUCAUGGAGCCUCAGGAUGUUUUUGGUCAUGACGGUGUCCCCGACUUUCCUUGUUUUUGAUGACCUUGACAGUUUUGAGGAGUACCGGUCAGGUGUUUUGUAGAAUGCCCCUCAACUGAGAUUUGUCUGUUUUCUGUGGCGAUUAAACUGGGGUUAUGGGUUUUGAGGGGGAAGAUGACAAAGGUAAAGUGCCAUUUCCAUCACACAUCAAUGUGACUUAUCACAUGCUGACCCUGAUCACUUGGCGGUGGUA